GCGGCCCUCCAGGACUGGGAUUGAGUACCCCUGCCCUAUAGUGACCUUACUUUCUGUGUUUGCUUCUUCAAAUGUGUGUGGUGGUGUGAAGAAGCAAGCUGGAAGUCUGAGCCUGUUGUGCUCCUCUUAAGAGGAGUCGUCAAAGGACAUGUGGGAUAUAUCGGAGGGCUGAUAGUAAUGGGGUGGAAUGAUCUCUAGGCCAUUCACUGAAGGCCGAGUUGAAGCUUUUGGCUCUUUACAUGCUGGAGGCACAAAAUGGUAAGAAAUAAAAAGUCAAGAAUUGUAAAUCUGCUUGUGCAGCCUGUAGCCGUUACUGGCCUCCAUUUUUAAUUUUUUAGUCUGCUGAAUCUAAUAUAGUUUGUGGUACAGGCUGGUGUGGAAAUGACGUACAGGAAAAGGAUGCUGGGAUGUGAACAGGUGACCUUGUGGAGGAAACGAGCGCCACUGCCCAUCGCUGAAAGCCACCUCAAGAAAACUAGCCUAAGAUGACGGAGAGGGGAAUCCCACCACUUGUGUUACACCACUGAGGGAAGAGGAUUAAGUGCAGGCAUCCCAGAAUACCACACUUGUGGCUGUGUUAAGGUAAGUCAAGAUGGUAACUGUGGUGCCACUGCUGGUGACGGCUCUUACAGAAUGAGACCCUGAUGCUGUGGCGCCCCCUGCUGGAGCAGUCUGACCGAUCUAUGUGAUGAAAUGUAAUUUCAAGGCUUGGCUGCUAACAUUCUCUGUGUAUUACAGAACUCUUACUUUCUAUUCAUAUGUGCAUGGUGUAUAUAUCAUUUUAUUUCCUCGUUUGUGUGUCCCUUACUUUUCAUCCAGUCAUUAGCUCUGUAAUUUGUCUUUAUUUACAGAUUCCAGUCCCAUGUUUCCUCCUCGCUCUUCACACUUCUCAGUCCCGGAGUUAUUCUAGUCAAUCAUGUCUGACCUUCUCGAGUGCGGUGAAGUUCUCCUUGUAAUGUGAUGACUAAAUCUGGAUGUGUUCCUUCCUUGCCUACCUUUAAAAUGUUUUGAGUAAUUUACCUUUUUUAAAUAUAAAUACCAUCUUAUAAUAAGACAUUUUAAAAUAUAUGUAUCAUAAAAAAAUGGGUAAAUAUUGUAUUGCCUGCUAUUUAUACUUUUCUUUUCUUUUGGUCCGCCUUUGUGAUUUUUGUUGCCGUUUUUAUAGCUUUGCUGUUUGGAGGCGAGAUACAGGCUAGAAUUUCACUGCACUGAGUUGGGUCACAAACUCCAAUGCUAAAGUCGAAUGAAUGGAUGGACAUGUGGAGAAGGUUUCAUGAGGAAAGUGGAUUUGGGUUUCUGCUGAAUGGGACGAGGUUCGAUGUUUACUGUAAGAACAUCAUUGGGCUGCAGUGUAGAGACGCUGGUAAGAUAUAAGAUCUACUCUGUGUCUGUCACCAUACUCCUCAUAUGGCCACCCAUCAGCUUCUUGAGCUUUGUUUUGCUCCUCAAUAGAAAUUCCAGGGAACAGAUCAGGACUUUCUGAUGACUUACCAUAAAUGGCACCAAGUGGCCUGACUGUAAGCUGUGCCACACUUCAGCAGUUCACGGCUCAAGCAAACACAUUGGUCUCCUUGAGAUGGCUGCCUUGAGCCCACCACACUUUAAUUCUCCUAAAGCAGCAGUGGCGCACACGCUUCAUUCUUGAGAGGAGUGCCAACUCUAUAUUUGAGACACAAGGAUGACUGUCUAACCCCUGGUGCCAUUUCAAUGGAGGCCUGAAUCCAUCCAUGGGGCUGGGUCAACCCAUCUAGUGAUUCCAGAUGAUUUCUUGUCUUCCUGAGACCUGACAAGAUGAGUUUGUCUGCUGAGCAAUAUGCCCAGGGUAACACUCUCCAUCCACCCCUUCCCCUACCAAAUGCAGACACUGUUGAGUGGCACCAGUAUGGGACUGUGGAGUCAGUCCUUUCAGCCGCUGGAGGUACAGCAGACCUCCUUUUAACUACAGUGGGCUGCUCACUGGCUUAUCCAUGGCCUGCCUACAUGAAAUGGAACAACUUGUUUCUGAAGUAAAACUUUGCUAUGAACCCCCUAUUGGAAUGCGUUUGCAUUUUCGGGCAUCUGGAUAACAAAAUUCACCUUCCUAGUGGGCUCACUUCAAUAUGGCACUGCUCACUCCAUUGGGUUUGUUGCCUCUUGUUGUUUCUUGACAUUACAAGUUCAGGCUUUAUGUGCCAAGUCCGGAUUUGAUGUGCAACGCGUCCCCCUCAGAGACGGUGUGCGGACAGGUGUCAGCCCGGUGUCACCUUUCACUUAUUCAUGGAGACUGUGUAGUGUAGAUUUCUCCCAUAUUAUGCUUUUUGUUCACUUUGUUAUACUCCCAAGUUUGUAAAGCAUUUAUUGGCACAAAUGGCCUGUUAAAACUGCGAAAUGAGAGCUGCACUCACCACCUGCAUUCCUGACUGAAUGGCAUAACUGCAGCUUGAGGCAACAAUCAGCUCUGUAAUAAAUCAGAUGAAGGGGUAAAUCGGAGGUGGCCCGACGUCACUGCAGUGUCACUUGCAGACAGAAAGGCGUCCCGACGGAUAUUCAUUUCAGGCCUGUAAACGCAAAUUGAAGGCUGGCUGGAUCCUUCCUAAACAAGCUGCAUUCAUCUCUUCUCUUUGAAACAUGACAAUCCACACUUGAAGUCACAGACCACCACUGUCAGUGAAGCAAAACUGUCCCUGCCGUUCUUUGGCCUGAAAGCUGCUCUCCCUGCACUGGUUCAUAGGUCCACUCUACCAUGAAGCCACUUCUGUACCAGAAACCGCUAUGCUUUCCUCUAGGAAGCUGCAGAGGGCACAGUAAAUUGAGGAAGGCAACAUCACAGCCCACCCAGACCAAAGACCCACCUGGCACUGAGAGUGAGCGCUCUGACACAAGCCAUGUCCUCUACCUGAACUCCACUCCACGCAGCCCUGGCCAUUGUCCUUAAAGCCUUGUGAAGAUAAACUGUUUUGUGAUGUCACCGUAAGUUCAGACAGGAGAGGCUGCCUGUUUAGAGCUCUAACAUGUUAGCCUGUCUCCUCUGGCUUGUGUCCCAUCUUCUGUGUUUAUAUGUAUGCACUCCUAUUUCUAUCAGCCUUGUUUUUAUCAGGAACCUUGGUAAGAGUCUAACGCUUGGAAACCCCUCUGAGAGAGAAUGGUAAGUAAGACCCUGUCCAGAUGAUUUAAUUACCAGCACUGCCAAAUGUAAGACUACUGAUUAACAGCAUCGGUCACUCUGAAGCUGACCUGAUGGAUUCUAGUGAACACGACACAUGAUACAGUGGGGUGUGCCUGUAGACCGGCUCACAGCACUUCUGUUGUUAUGAUCAGCGCUACGAGGGGACGGGGACUGGUCAGUUUCUGUUUUUGCUGCUGCUUGAAAACCCCAUCACCUGAUUUACCCUUUUUUUGUUUCUGUUUUGGGUGCCUUUAUUUUAACUCGUGUCCCUGCAGAAAGUCUGCCCAGGUCGCUGAAAAAAAAACGAACGGGCAGCGGCGGGGCUAGCAGCCCAACACCUCGUUAAUGUGACACUAACAGUCUUCAACGGCCGUUACACUGCGGAAAUAACUGAAGGCCUGAGGAGCUGCACACAAGCACAUUGAAGAAUAGCUUUGGACACAAAGGAGAGCACCAUGAGUGACAACGGCACUGACCACUGCCUGCUAAGCUGCUCCAGUACAAAAGUGUUUCUAAAACAGUGCUGCUGUGGCCAAAAUCAUCCUAAUGCCAUCUCAACUUGUUCAAAACUAAGCCUGUAGAUCUUUGGAGAAGUUAACAAAAUGCAUACAGACACGGACGACAAACUGGCAGGGUUAAAAACAAGCAGCCUCAUUCAUGAACUGCACUAUUACCCCCAAGGCACCGAACGUUAAACCAGCGCUCUGCCUCACUGCAUGACCAACAAACGUCCCAUCAGCUGCCCAAAAAGGUAAGUGAAACCAAAUUUGUUGUUUGAAAUAAACUUGGGUUCAGGGCACUUGAGUCUGAAUGAAGUUUCUUGCUGCUUCAGAGUCAGAGGUGUAACACAAAUUCAUCCACACAACAUAAAUCUUGAUGUUUAACUGUCAAGUAAUCAAUACACACCUCUAAUCAAAUCAAAAGAUUAUUCCUUCCAUUUUAUAAAAACACUGUCUGACCUCAAGUUUUACCCAAGUGUCUGUGAAAC